CUCCCUCCCCCCUGGCCCUGAAGGCUGGGCUUGUCAGAGGAGAUGUGUGGUGACAGGCUGAGCCCAGACUCAUACAAUGGUCCCUAUGUUCAGUUCUCGCCAGCAGGGCAGGCCUGCUGCUGCCUGGGGGUGUGAUUCAGUCCCUGCCAACCCCCCCUCCCCACCAGAGGCCUUUAUAAACGUCAGUCCCUCAUUAGUGCCUUACCUCCCUAACCUUACUCUAUUUGCACACACUGUACAUGGAUAUUUCUACUGUAUUAUUGACUGUACGUUUGUUUAUGUGUAACUCUGUGUUGUUUGUCACACUGCUUUGCUUUAUCUUGGCCAGGUCCCAGUUGUUAUUGAGAACUUGUUCUCAACUGGCCUACCUGGUUAAAUAAAGGUGAAAAAAACAUUUUUUAAAUAAAUGAGGAAGAAAUACUUCCCUACCAUUCCGUUUCCCGUCAGAAGGACUCAGUAAAGCCUACAUAGUACAGUCUACCCUCUGACGUGCUGGAGGUGUGUUGUGAUGAUGUUAAACUGGUCAGUUAUAGGUCUUACUGCGGUACUAAUGGGUCUAUGGGUCUUACUGCGGUCCUAGUGUGUCUAUGGGUCUUACUGCGGUCCUAGUGGGUCUUACUGCGGUCCUAGUGGGUCUAUGGGUCUUACUGCGGUCCUAGUGGGUCUAUGGGUCUUACUGCGGUCCUAGUGGGUCUAUGGGUCUUACUGCGGUCCUAGUGGGUCUAUGGGUCUUACUGCGGUACUAGUGGGUCUAUGGGUCUUACUGCGGUACUGUGAGGUCUAUGGGUCUUACUGCGGUACUGUGAGGUCUAUGGGUCUUACUGCGGUACUAGUGGGUCUAUGGGUCUUACUGCGGUACUAGUGGGUCUAUGGGUCUUACUGCGGUACUAGUGGGUCUAUAGGUCUUACUGCAGUACUAGUGGGUCUAUAGGUCUUACUGCGGUACUAGUGGGUCUAUGGGUCUUACUGCGGUACUAGUGGGUCUAUAGGUCUUACUGCAGUACUAGUGGGUCUAUGGGUCUUACUGCAGUACUAGUGGGUCUAUGGGUCUUACUGCAGUACUAGUGGGUCUAUGGGUCUUACUGCAGUACUAGUGGGUCUAUGGGUCUUACUGCAGUACUAGUGGGUCUAUGGGUCUUACUGCAGUACUAGUGGGUCUAUGGGUCUUACUGCGGUACUAGUGGGUCUAUGGGUCUUACUGCAGUACUAGUGGGUCUAUAAGUCUUACUGCAGUACUAGUGGGUCUAUAGGUCUUACUGCAGUACUAGUGGGUCUAUAGGUCUUACUGCUGUACUAGUGGGUCUAUGGGUCUUACUGCGGUAC
ensembl:lncRNA